rnacentral:tRNA from 1 species
GAGGGCACAGCUCGGCGGCAGAGCGCACGUUUAGCACUCACGAGGUCCUGGGUUCAAUCCCCAGUGCCUCCA